UACGUAGGGUGCGAGCGUUAAUCGGAAUUACUGGGCGUAAAGAGCGCGCAGGCGGUCGUGCAAGUCGCGUGUGAAAGCCCCCGGCUCAACUGGGGAGGGUCACGCGAUACUGCUCGACUCGAAGGCAGGAGAGGGAAGUGGAAUUCCCGGUGUAGUGGUGAAAUUCGUAGAUAUUCGCAAGAACACCAGUGGCGAAGGCGGCUCACUGGCCCGGUACUGACGCUGAGGUGCGAAAGCGUGGGGAGCAAACAGG
rnacentral:rRNA from 1 species